AAUUCAGAAACUCUUGACUGCUGGAGGCUGUGAUUGACCCACUGAGAGCUUUUAGGCAUGUGGAUGUGACUCAGCCAGGAUCGAUGGAGCAUUGACUGCUGAUUGGACUCCUGUGGGAAGGAUGAAGACAUGAAGAGAAAGUUUCAAGAUCUUCUGUGUGAGGAAAAUGAAUCCACAGCUCUACUCCAGGUUCUAGCCCAGCCUUCUACUAGUCGAAAGUGGCCUCAUGAAGGGGAAGCCGAGGGUGCCGAGACCACAAAGCGCCCGGCUGUGUGUGCUGCUGUGUUGUGAACUCCAUGGUUUGAACAUGAAAGAAAUGUACCUUCUUUCACUCUGUCAUCUUUCUUUUCUUUGAGUCUGUUUUUUAUAGUGUGUAUUUUAAUUAUGGAAAUAAUUGCUUUUUCACAGUCACUGAUGUACAAUUAAAAACCUGAUGGAACCUGG
rnacentral:lncRNA from 1 species